rnacentral:lncRNA from 1 species
AUUACCUUUGGUCUGGCUCAGCCUGCACAGGUGAUGGAAGCUGGAUUCCCCUGCAUGGAGUGGGCUGGCCAAGGAAUAAGGUGAAAAAAUCACACAACACAGAAAAUAGUUUUAAAGAGUAGGGGCAGGAUAGCUCUUCAACCUUAAGGGUCGAGCUUCCAUGCUAGAAAGAGCAAGAGCCCACGUUUGCUUUCUUUAUUUGGGAGAACUUCAAAGGCUUUCUACAGAAUGUUCUUAGCCAAUUAAGGUAGGAGGUGGGCUGCCCAGUUCCCACUGGGUCACGCUCAACUCUAUAGCUAGGAGAUCAGUCUUCCUGGCCUAGUGAAGACAGAGGUCCUGUACAUUGCCCAAUCCAUUAAGUGGGAGGAGCCACAAAAUAGCUUGCAAUGCCAAACCAAAAUCUCUUUGGCUCCAAGGCCCAGUGAAGAUGCUCAAAUAACUCAGGAGUGGCUCCCCACACUUUGGAUUUGUCAGUGUAACUCAGCAACAGAGCACUUGCUGAGCUUGUUAGAGAUCGUGGGUUGAUCCACAGCACUGGGGGAAAAAAGUUACAAUGCCCGAAUUUUUUUUUCCUUGUACUGGGAAUUGAACCCUGGGAUACUGUGCCACUGAUUCUGAGAAAAGGUUUCACUAAAUAGCUGAGGCUGCUCUUGAACUUGCAGUCCUCUUGCUUCAGCCUCCCAAAUUACUGGGAUUACAUACAUGCCACAGUACCUAGUCAAUGGCACAUUUUAUAUAUUAUUACAGGUUUUUAAAAGAAAAGACCAGGUGCAGUAGUGCAUACUUAUAAUCCCAACACUCAGGAAGCUGAGGCUGGAAGAUCACUUGAUCCAAGAGUUCAGGGGCAGCUGGGGUAACAGAAUAAGACUUUCUAAAAAAAAAAAAAAGAAAGAAAGAAAAGAAAGAAAUGUAUUGUACUUAACAAAGUGCACCAACCUUAAGUAUACAGAUUGCCAAUUACUGCUGUGAUAGUCAAGCCAAAGUUACUCCAUUUUGUUUAGUAACUCCAUGUUGUAAAACAACCAUGCCAAGUAGAAGGGUCAUGACCAGGACAAGAUGUUCUUUUCCUUUUGCUGUAGAAACCUUUAAGAACACAGAACUACCUAAUUGGGGCAUUGUCUCUGUAACUAGGUAAUGGGGCUCUGUUUCUGUAACUGGGAUGACUGGGCUAAUUGUGGUUGGCUAAGCAUCCCGCCACCUGACUGUACUCUCCUGCUUCUGUAACCUUGCUUGUUUGCAUUGGCUGGACCCCCAAACAUCCCUCUUGCAGUUUUCAGGCUUAUAAGGAGCACCCUUGCAAUUGUUUGGGGCUGAUCAGGGGAACAGCUUUAUGUUCUGGUCAGUCGCCACUGGUGUGCUUCAAUAAAGGCUUGAUUUGAUUAUACAUGAGUGGUCUGGAAGUCAAUUUAUGAAACCCCG